rnacentral:lncRNA from 1 species
AUAUAUAUAUAUACACAUAUUUAACCUAUUAACUGGCUGCAAUAUGAAGAUGAAAAGUGCAUUUGUUUACGGCUGUUGUAUACUUCUGACCUUAAAAUCAAUAAAGUGAUAAAAUCUUCUGAACCUCUCAAAUCUAUUUGGAAACUAUUUUUUGUUAGAGUGCUGCAUUCUUACACACAUGUGAAAUUGCUAAUUCCAAGUUGGAUAUUGCAGAGGACUGCUCAGAACUUCCAACAGAAUCAGAUAUUGACGCAAAAAAAAAAGGAAAGCGGAAAGGUCAUUACCAGUUUUAUGGAAUGAAUUGUGCGAUUCAGAUUCUGAUUAUACAAAAUCUGACAAUGGAAAGAAAUUUUCGGUAUCAAUUUCAACCUCAAACCUGAAGUUUUCUACUCCUCAGUUGCAAUCAAAAAUUCAAAAUAGGCCUCUUCAAAAUGCAUCAUCUACUAUCUGCUCUCUCUGGUCAUUAUUUUUAAACGAUUUAUCUUUUAGUAAAAAAGGAAAUGAUCAUCGAAAACUAAUAUUAUUAGAAGAGAUUAAACAAAUUAAUCAAACGAUAGUUUUUCUUCUGCAACAAUUAUCAGCACAACAGCAGCGUGGUAAUAUAGAAACAAGUUUUGAUGAGUUGGGCUUCCUGUUUCAUUAAUAGAACAUUUACAAAAACUAGAAACAGAUUGCCUUGACAAUGACCUCCGAGGAUAGUUUAUGCUGUUCGGCGUAAUCCAUGUCGCGGUACGGAUGCAAGGUUGCUUGUGCCAUUAAAGCAUGGCUUCGAUUCGCAAAAUUCGUGUGGAGGGAGGAGAAGAAACAUCAUUUUAACGAUUUUAGUUAUAUAGUUUUAUAUAUAGUUUAUGAUUUUUUUGUAUGUUUGUAAUAGUUUAAAUUAUUUUGUAACAAAUAAACAUUUAACUAGAAACCAACAAAUUUAUUAACUUUAAUAC